UACGGGGGGGAGCAAGCGUUGUUCGGAUUUACUGGGCGUAAAGAGCUCGUAGGCGGUUUGUCGCGUCUGCUGUGAAAACUCGGGGCUUAACCCCGGGCCUGCAGUGGGUACGGGCAUGACUGGAGUUCGGCAGGGGAGACUGGAAUUCCUGGUGUAGCGGUGAAAUGCGCAGAUAUCUGGAGGAACACCGGUGGCGAAGGCGGCAUCCUGGACCGGCAUUGACGCUGAGGAGCGAAAGUGUGGGGAGCGAACAGG
rnacentral:rRNA from 1 species